rnacentral:rRNA from 1 species
CAGUAGCCGCGGGAAUACAGAGGGUGCGAGCGUUAAUCGGAUUUACUGGGCGUAAAGCGUGCGUAGGCGGCUUUUUAAGUCUGCUGUGAAAGCCCUGGGCUCAACCUGGGAAUUGCAGUGGAUACUGGGCAACUAGAGUAAGGUAGAGGAUAGUGGAAUUUCCGGUGUAGCAGUGAAAUGCGUAGAGAUCGGAAGGAACAUCUGUGGCGAAGGCGACUAUCUGGGCCAUUACUGACACUGAGGCACGAAAGCGUGGGGAGCAAACAGGAUUAGAUACCCCUGUAGUCCCUGUCUCUUAUAC